rnacentral:lncRNA from 1 species
AUAUGCCAUUUUAGAAUUUUUUCUAUUAUUGUGCACUAUGCUGUUAUCCAUGUCAUCAUCCACAUUAGGAAGAUAUCACAUCAACAGGAUAAGAGCUGUCUUUACCUCUUUAAGAGGUAAGAGAUUUGAUUUUAAUAGAAGCAAAGCCAUUCAGCAUUAAGAGGAUGCCAUGGAAUGGAGGAGGUUUGAAUAGAUGGAGAGGGA